AACAGGAUUAGAUACCCUGGUAGUCCACGCCGUAAACGAUGUCGACUUGGAGGUUGUGCCCUUGAGGCGUGGCUUCCGGAGCUAACGCGUUAAGUCGACCGCCUGGGGAGUACGGCCGCAAGGUUAAAACUCAAAUGAAUUGACGGGGGCCCGCACAAGCGGUGGAGCAUGUGGUUUAAUUCGAUGCAACGCGAAGAACCUUACCUGGUCUUGACAUCCACGGAAGUUUUCAGAGAUGAGAAUGUGCCUUCGGGAACCGUGAGACAGGUGCUGCAUGGCUGUCGUCAGCUCGUGUUGUGAAAUGUUGGGUUAAGUCCCGCAACGAGCGCAACCCUUAUCCUUUGUUGCCAGCGGUCCGGCCGGGAACUCAAAGAAGACUGCCAGUGAUAAACUGGAGGAAGGUGGGGAUGACGUCAAGUCAUCAUGGCCCUUACGACCAGGGCUACACACGUGCUACAAUGGCGCAUACAAAGAGAAGCGACCUCGCGAGAGCAAGCGGACCUCAUAAAGUGCGUCGUAGUCCGGAUUGGAGUCUGCAACUCGACUCCAUGAAGUCGGAAUCGCUAGUAAUCGUGGAUCAGAAUGCCACGGUGAAUACGUUCCCGGGCCUUGUACACACCGCCCGUCACACCAUGGGAGUGGGUUGCAAAAGAAGUAGGUAGCUUAACCUUCGGGAGGGCGCUUACCACUUUGUGAUUCAUGACUGGGGUGAAGUCGUAACAAGGUAACC
rnacentral:rRNA from 1 species